rnacentral:tRNA from 1 species
GCGCCCGUAGCUCAGCUGGAUAGAGCACUGGUCUACGGAACCAGGUGUCGGAAGUUCGAAUCUUCCCGGGCGCGCCA